rnacentral:rRNA from 1 species
AGCGAUCGCUGGCGGCAGGCCUAACACAUGCAAGUCGAACGAAGCCUUCGGGCUUAGUGGCGGACGGGUGAGUAACACGUGGGAACGUACCUUUUGGUUCGGAACAACUCAGGGAAACUUGAGCUAAUACCGGAUGAGCCCUUAGGGGGAAAGAUUUAUCGCCGAAAGAGCGGCCCGCGUUAGAUUAGCUAGUUGGUGAGGUAAAGGCUCACCAAGGCAACGAUCUAUAGCUGGUCUGAGAGGAUGAUCAGCCACACUGGGACUGAGACACGGCCCAGACUCCUACGGGAGGCAGCAGUGGGGAAUCUUGCGCAAUGGGCGAAAGCCUGACGCAGCCAUGCCGCGUGAAUGAUGAAGGUCUUAGGAUUGUAAAAUUCUUUUACCAGGGACGAUAAUGACGGUACCUGGAGAAAAAGCCCCGGCUAACUUCGUGCAGCAGCCGCAGUAAAAC